rnacentral:rRNA from 1 species
CCUACGGGGGACAGCAGUGGGGAAUAUUGCACAAUGGGGGAAACCCUGAUGCAGCGACGCCGCGUGAGUGAAGAAGUAUUUCGGUACGUAAAGCUCUAUCAGCAGGGAAGAAGAAAGACGGUACCUGACUAAGAAGCCCCGGCUAACUACGUGCCAGCAGCCGCGGUAAUACGUAGGGGGCAAGCGUUAUCCGGAUUUACUGGGUGUAAAGGGAGCGUAGACGGCUGUGCAAGUCUGAAGUGAAAGCCCAGGGCUCAACCCUGGGACUGCUUUGGAAACUGUGGAGCUAGAGUGCUGGAGAGGUAAGUGGAAUUCCUAGUGUAGCGGUGAAAUGCGUAGAUAUUAGGAGGAACACCAGUGGCGAAGGCGGCUUACUGGACAGUAACUGACGUUGAGGCUCGAAAGCGUGGGGAGCAAACAGGAUUAGAUACCCCUGUAGUC